rfam:Batrachochytrium dendrobatidis JEL423 supercont1.1 genomic scaffold, whole genome shotgun sequence.
UCUUCAGUAGUAUAGUGGCUAGUAUCUCCGCCUGUCACGCGGAAGACCGGGGUUCGAUUCCCCGCUGAAGAG